CAAGAGGAGCCUGACAGGUUUGGGCAGCCUGGUGGGAAGCCCAGAGGAGGCAUGUCAGGGAGGGCCUGGGAGAGCUGACCCCUCUCUGAACCCCAGCCUGUGCCUGCAGGAGGUAGUACCUCACAGUGGGAGUCAUCUCCACCAGUGGGCUCCCUGCCCCUGACACAGGUCAAUGGCUCUGAGGAACUGAAAAACUUUGGGAGCAGAUCACAGAAGACUCUGAUUGGGAGAAUGGAGGCCCAGAGAGAUUUAGAUCACACACUGGAAGUCAAAGACAUCAAAUUGAAGCCGAAAUUGAAAACAAAUCUCAUCGAUUUCAAAGUCUGUCCUGUCCGUGCCCACUGACCCAGCUAAAUUUUCCUUGAAUACAUUUUCCACCGCACUUCCCUCCCCAUGUUAGCUCACCGCUGAUGGGCUACGACUUCCUGGGCUUGUGAGUGUCUGGGUCAACAGGUAGAUUGGCUCUUCGCCUGUCCUUGCCUCAGGAUAUUUCCAGGGCAGAAAACAGAAGCUGCUUGAAGUCAAAGGCUUUUGUAAAACUCCUAAGCUCUUUGAAGAAAGGAUGCUGGGGUCCCAGGGGUAGAGGGGAGGCCUUUGAGGGCAUCGGGAGGACAGAGAGAGAUGACUCUAAGAGCCAGAGGCUGGGUGAGAGAGGGCUUUAAGCAUGAUGUAAGGGAGGGAGACAGAGAGGCCAGGAAAUGUAGAAAGAUCACAAGCAGACCUUGAGAGGCUGAUGAGGCAGGGGAUCCCAGCUUCACCUCGAACUCCCCAAAUGAGACCUCGAAGCAGAGGAGCCAGUGGCCCUGGAGAUCCAUAUGUAUUGGGGCAAUAGAGGACUCCAGGGACCAGGAAAAGCUGACCAGUGAGUGGAAGGGCUCCCCAGUGGUCUGGUGAUGGAGGAGGGCCUGAUCAUUGUCCAACCCUCCAGAGCAGGUGGGCUCAGUAAUGACUGUGCUGAAAUUUCUGCCACCCCAGCAGGACCGGUGUCCAGAAUGGGACUAACAUGAUUAAAAUAAAAAUAUUCUGCACAUACUGGAGUAGUAGACUUUGAUGCUAAACCCAACACAAUCAAAAGUGGGGGUUGGAGAU